rnacentral:RNase_P_RNA from 2 species
UUGGAAGGGCGGAGGAUCGCUUUCGGCGCAAGCUGGAGGAGGAAAGUCCGAACUCCGUAGGGCUCGAUGCCGCGUAACCUUUGCUUUCGGGCAUUGGAUACACGCGGGAGGCGUGGUCGAAAGACCUGCCGAUGGAAAGUGCCACAGAAACUUAAACCGCCGUCAGCUUCGGCUGACGGUAAGGGUGAAAAGGCGGGGUAAAAGCCCACCGCUCCAAGAGAAAUCGAGGAGGCACGGAAAACCCCAUCGGGUGCAAGGCCAAAUAGGAAACCGAGGAGCUGCCCGCUCCGCGUUCCGCGCAAGCGGAGCAGGUUUCGGGUAUUGGCUGCUCAGACAAAUGAUUCUCUCCGUUCGAAAGAACGCAGACAAAAUUCGGCUUACAGCCCUUCCAAAAUC